GACGAACGCUGGCGGCGUGCUUAACACAUGCAAGUCGAACGGACAGGCCCUGCUUUUGUGGGGUGCUCGAGUGGCGAACGGGUGAGUAACACGUGAGUAACCUGCCCUUGACUUUGGGAUAACUUCAGGGAACUGGGGCUAAUACCGGAUAGGAGCUCCUGCUGCAUGGUGGGGGUUGGAAAGUUUCGGCGGUUGGGGAUGGACUCGCGGCUUAUCAGCUUGUUGGUGGGGUAGUGGCUUACCAAGGCUUUGACGGGUAGCCGGCCUGAGAGGGUGACCGGCCACAUUGGGACUGAGAUACGGCCCAGACUCCUACGGGAGGCAGCAGUGGGGAAUAUUGCACAAUGGGCGGAAGCCUGAUGCAGCAACGCCGCGUGCGGGAUGACGGCCUUCGGGUUGUAAACCGCUUUCGCCUGUGACGAAGCGUGAGUGACGGUAAUGGGUAAAGAAGCACCGGCUAACUACGUG
rnacentral:rRNA from 1 species